AUUUAGAUAGGCAAAUACAUUUCAUAUUAAAAUUAAUUAGCAAAGCUUCGAAAAAGUCCUAUUUCGAGUUUAAGUUACCUCCGAAUUAAUUAAGAUGUCUAUAAAAAUGACGUCAUGUUUUGUUAGGAUAAUACCCUAUGGCGCGCUUUGUUUAAAUUUUCCAACAGCACGUGGUAAUAGCACAAAACAUAAAGUUUAUAAACAAAUAACAUUUAAUAAAAAUCGAUUUAAUAAAGUAACGAAGGUCGGAUUAUUUAGAACAACGAAGAAAAUGAAAUCAACAACAGAACCACAGUAGAUAAAACACGCAAUGGAUAAAAGUGUAGAAAAGAACGUCAGUUAGAAGCGUGGCUGGUGAAUCCAAAAGGUUUAGAAACCUUCGACAAACUAUGAAGGCUAUGGAUUAAGAUUUAAUUAGUUUACUGUGUACAUUUACGCUGUUCAUACAAUAAGUCAAGCAGAAACAAAUAUUUAUUGAUCAAACAACGUGAAGUGUAAUUACAGAAAACCACUCCUGUAUAAAUUAUAAUAAUAAAGUUAAUUCUAUAGCCUUUAAUAAGAUUACAGAAACUCCUAUUACUGUAAAGUAAAUUAUAGUUACUGCUCAUGUCGCACCACUUGACGAUAACCAAUUCUAUACUAAGGUAAAAGUGCUUUGUUCGUAUUACAGCAUUAUGUACACUUACAAUUAUACAUGGAAUUUCUAAAUUGUCGGACAAACUUUUCAACUCUUUGUAUGUAUCUUUAUCCAUAUUGUAUCCUAAUGACUGAUUUUGUAAGUAUUGUUUGUUUAUUCUUAUAAGUUAGUGUCUUUUUAGUUAUUAUACUGAAAGAAAUAACUAUUUAUCUUAAAGUUAUGUCUAGUUUGUUUGCUCAAAGCAGGGGUUUCUAAAUCAACAAGAGAACCCUAACAACUCUGUAGUGGUACAUAAUCUUUCAUGCCCACUUGGACUUUAAUUUUUUAAUUGUUGUGGUUUCUUGAAUUUAUGGUAAUUGUACUUUCAAAUACUUCUGAACAAAAGAAUUUUGUUAUAACUUUCAUUUUAUGUGUAUUAGUGCAAAAGGAAUGUGUAAAGAUUUUGUGUUUGCACAGUGUUGUGCAAGGGAUAAAAUGAGAUUGUUAAUGCAUAAACUGUUUGUUUAGUGGUUAUAAUGCAAACAAUGAUGAAUAGCUAUGUGUGAAUGGUACAGCAUGGUUGAAAAAUAGGAGUGUUUGUUUCAUUAGUUCUGCUGCAAAUAAUAGACAAAGAUUUUUUUUAAUUUACAGAAAGUUUUAAUUUAGUUAAAUGUCAAGUACUUUGUGUAAUUGUGUGGUGAAGCAAAAAAAGUUAUGAAAUUUAUCCAGAUAUAAUAAAUAGAGCAUGUUCUGUGUAACUGUAACUGUAAAAACUUAUCGUUAAAUAUUGUUAAGUAAUUGAAACUUUUUAUGAUGUUUAAAUUGUAACUUGUCAUUUGUUGCGGAAAGUUAAACAAUGAUUAGUAACAGGCUGUAAGAAUAUAUCAACUUGUUUAGAGGUUGUAAAAUGAAUAAAUUUGUUAUUGGGUUAUGUUUCAUGUGUGGGUUUGUAACUAUUUCAUCUGCUAGAGGAUGGACAGAUGAAGAAGAAACAACAGAAUAUUGGUACAAACUCGGCCAAGAAGAAAUUGAUAUUGCUCUCGAAAGAGAAAACUUAAACAAGAAUGUUGCAAGAAAUAUUAUUUUGUUUCUAGGUGAUGGCAUGAGUGUGGCAACUAUAACUGCUGGUAGAAUCCUGAAGGGACAGUUAGAAGGCAAGAGUGGAGAAGAAUCCACAUUAGCCAUGGAUCAGUUUCACUUUGCUGGUCUUUCAAAGACAUACUCAGUUGAUCAACAAGUGUCUGAUUCAGCUUGCACUGCAACUGCUUAUCUGUGUGGAGUCAAAAGCGAUUACUCUACAAUAGGUUUAAAUGGCAAUGUUGAAUAUGGGGAUUGCAGUUCCGUCAAGGGCAAUGAGGUGGAAUCUACAUUAGUGAAGGCUUACAAAGCAGGCAAAUCAACAGGAAUAGUUACAACCACAAGAAUAGUCCAUGCAUCACCUGCUGGCACUUACGCACAUACACCAAGCAGGGGGUGGUAUGGGGAUAACAACUUACCUGAAAGUGCAAUACAAGAGGGGUGUAAAGAUAUUGCGCAACAAUUCAUGGAUUCAUCUGACAUGAUCACAGUUGCUUUGGGUGGUGGACGAAAAUAUUUCCGACCCCAAGGCGUCCCAGAUGAAGAAUACCCGAAACAAAGUUAUGAGAGGCAAGAUGGGCAGGAUCUUAUAUCAGACUGGCAAAUCAAGUAUGGAAAUACAGCCAAGUUUGUUUGGAACCAGGAACAGUUUGAUCAAGUAGAUCCGGUUACUACAGAUAGGUUACUGGGAAUGUUCGAACCAUGUGACAUGAAUUAUGACGCAAGGAGGUUGGAUGAUUCAGCUGGGGAACCUUCACUUGAAGAAAUGACAGAAAAAGCAAUCCGGAUGCUGCAGAAGAAUCACGAAAGGAUAUUCCCUUUUGGUUGAAGGGGAAAGAAUAGACCAUGGACACCAUGCAUCCAACGCACACCUGGCACUCACAGACUUGGUGGCUUUUGAUAAAGCAAUAAAACGCGCUGUUGACUUGACAGCUGAAAGUGACACACUCAUAGUAGUCACAGCAGAUCACGCGCACACCAUGAGUGUGGGAGCAUACAGUGAAAGAGGAAAUCCAAUAUUCGGACUAGCACCAUCCAACACUAACCCUGCAUUAGCGGAAGAUGGGAAACCAUACACAACAUUGCUGUAUGCUAAUGGACCUGGUUUCCAAGGUCCAGGGACAUUUCUGGGCUCUCAUGUGAGGCAGAAUCUUACCAACGUAAAUACAGAAUCUUUAGCAUACCUCCAACAAAGUUCAACCCCAAUAGAUUCCGAGACUCACGGCGGUGACGACGUUGCUAUCCUUGCUAGAGGACCGAUGUCCCAUCUUUUUCAUGGCGUUCACGAACAAAGUUAUAUUCCCCAUGUAAUGAGGUAUGCUGCAUGUAUUGGUGACGACACAUCACAUUGUAGCGGAACCCGUAAUACAUACGCUGGGGAAGAUACGCCUUCUAAAUAUGUGGCUGCUGAUUUCCUCGGUAUUAAACUAACAGCCACUGAUGCAGUAGUUGCACUUUACGUUCAAUUUGUCCUCGUAAUUUGCCUCGCGUUGGUAAUUCUCGUUCUUAUACCGAUUGUUAAGAAACCAAAACAAAUGCAAUCUGACGCCAUAUACGAGAACAGCCACAUUCAUUCAAAGUCGGUAACGAAUUUAUAAUUUUAUAAUUACUUUUUUAAAACUUCCUAAUUAAUAUUUUUACUUUUAUAAUUAUAAACUUUUGAGAUUUACUGAUUACCUUUAAUCGCUUAUCGAGUGUUUUUUUCUGUUUGUGACGUAAUUGUCUCUUAGUAUUGUGGAUGUGCGGUAAUUUUUAGCGAACAUUAUGACGUAAAUUACUUAAUAUAUUCGCGAAACAUUGCUGAACUUAAAAAAAGAGAAAUUGCGGAGAGAAAAA